AACGUAGGGUGCAAGCGUUACUCGGAAUUACUGGGCGUAAAGCGUGUGUAGGUGGUUCGUUAAGUCUGAUGUGAAAGCCCUGGGCUCAACCUGGGAAUGGCAUUGGAAACUGGCGACCUAGAGUGCGGUAGAGGGCAGUGGAAUUCCCGGUGUAGCAGUGAAAUGCGUAGAGAUCGGGAGGAACAUCUGUGGCGAAGGCGACUGCCUGGACCAGCACUGACACUGAGGCACGAAAGCGUGGGGAGCAAACAGG
rnacentral:rRNA from 1 species